rnacentral:rRNA from 1 species
GACGAACGCUGGCGGCGUGCCUAAUACAUGCAAGUCGAACGCUGAAGGAGGAGCUUGCUUCUCUGGAUGAGUUGCGAACGGGUGAGUAACGCGUAGGUAACCUGCCUGGUAGCGGGGGAUAACUAUUGGAAACGAUAGCUAAUACCGCAUAAUAGUAGAUGUUGCAUGACAUUUGCUUAAAAGGUGCAAUUGCAUCACUACCAGAUGGACCUGCGUUGUAUUAGCUAGUUGGUGGGGUAACGGCUCACCAAGGCGACGAUACAUAGCCGACCUGAGAGGGGGAUCGGCCACACUGGGACUGAGACACGGCCCAGACUCCUACGGGAGGCAGCAGUAGGGAAUCUUCGGCAAUGGACGGAAGUCUGACCGAGCAACGCCGCGUGAGUGAAGAAGGUUUUCGGAUCGUAAAGCUCUGUUGUAAGAGAAGAACGAGUGUGAGAGUGGAAAGUUCACACUGUGACGGUAUCUGACCAGAAAGGGACGGCUAACUACGUG